rnacentral:lncRNA from 1 species
GAAGGUAUAGGUGAAUUUUUUUUUUAAAUAACUUUGUUUAGCUCUAGUUUUAGUAAUAAAAUAGGGGUAAAAUUUUUUUCUGUUUUCUCUUUAUUUUUAGGUCUGAUGGAGUUUAUAAAUACCUAGUGUAGUUUAUUAUUUUUGUUUUUGUUGUGGUCUGUAAAUACCUAUUCUUGUUACUGCUUUGUUUUAGUUUAGUUUUUAGCUUUGAUGAUAAAUGUUCUUAGGUCUAAAGUUCU